GCAUCAAUGGGGUAGUGGUAACCUGGGUCGUUGCCAUCGACAUUGUGUCCCAUUGAGCUUCGACCCGCCGGGGGUUCGAUUCCCUCUUGAUGCA